rnacentral:tRNA from 1 species
UUAUAAAACAUUAGUUUAAUUUUAUAUUGAAAAUAUAAUGUUUUUAAAAUUAAACUAUAUAAAUAGAAAU